AUUGAACGCUGGCGGCAUGCCUUACACAUGCAAGUCGAACGGCAGCACGGGGCAACCUGGUGGCGAGUGGCGAACGGGUGAGUAAUGCAUCGGAACGUACCUUUCAGUGGGGGAUAACGUAGCGAAAGUUACGCUAAUACCGCAUAUUCUGUGAGCAGGAAAGCAGGGGAUCGCAAGACCUUGCGCUGAUUGAGCGGCCGAUGUCAGAUUAGCUAGUUGGUGAGGUAAAGGCUCACCAAGGCGACGCUCUGUAGCGGGUCUGAGAGGAUGAUCCGCCACACUGGAACUGAGACACGGUCCAGACUCCUACGGGAGGCAGCAGUGGGGAAUUGUGGACAGUGGGGGCAACCCUGAUCCAGCCAUGCCGCGUGAGUGAAGAAGGCCUUCGGGUUGUAAAGCUCUUUCGGCCGGGAAGAAAUCGCACGGGCUAAUACCCUGUGUGGAUGACGGUACCGGAAUAAGAAGCACCGGCUAACUACGUGCCAGCAGCCGCAGUAACAC
rnacentral:rRNA from 1 species